rnacentral:lncRNA from 1 species
CCUUUCUGACUGGUUGUUUUUUUAACUUCAUUUAGAACUUUAGUGAUAUCCUCCCACCACCCCCCCUCCCCGAAACCUCAUCUACACGACCCCUUUUAAAGAUGGCACAGUUAGAUAAUAGAGCUGCCUCCUGAACCAGGUCCAGGACAAGCACAAACUCAAAACAAGGGCCGCCUUCACGGGUGAAAUAGUACACCAGUGAAACCCAGACGCAGACUCCUGAAUGAAUGAUUUGGUCACACCCUCUGUGAGCAUGAAUUAGCACUUCAGCAUCAGGUAAAAUGGAAAGGAACCUUGGAGCUGUGGCAGCAGCAGUCAAACAAGACCUAA